GGAGGGUGCAAACGUUGCUCGGAAUUACUGGGCGUAAAGCGCAUGCAGGGCGGUUUGCAAAGUUUCGUGUGAAAGCCCUGGGGCUCAACCCAGGAAGUGCACGGAAAACUGGCAGACUAGAGUACUGGAGAAGUGGGCGGAAUUCCCGGUGUAGAGGUGAAAUUCGUAGAUAUCGGGAGGAACACCAGCAGCGAAGGCGGCUCACUUGACAGAUACUGACGCUCAGAUGCGAAAGCGUGGGGAGCAAACAGGAUUAGAUACCCUGGUAGUCCACGCCGUAAACGAUGGGCACUAGGUGUCGGGGGCUUGACCCCUUCGGCGCCGCAGCUAACGCAUUAAGUGCCCCGCCUGGGGAGUACGGUCGCAAGGCUA
rnacentral:rRNA from 1 species